UACAUGGGGUGCAAACGUUGCUCGGAAUCAUUGGGCGUAAAGCGCGCGUAGGCGGUUACUUAUGUCGGAUGUGAAGGCCCUCGGCUUAACUGAGGAAGUGCAUUCGAAACUGGGUAGCUAGAGUACUAAAGAGGGUCGCGGAAUUCCCGGUGUAGAGGUGAAAUUCGUAGAUAUCGGGAGGAACACCGGUGGCGAAGGCGGCGACCUGGGUAGAUACUGACGCUGAGGCGCGAAAGCGUGGGGAGCAAACAGG
rnacentral:rRNA from 1 species